rnacentral:rRNA from 1 species
GCAAGUCGAGCGGUAACAGAGAGUAGCUUGCUACUUUGCUGACGAGCGGCGGACGGGUGAGUAAUGCUUGGGAAUAUGCCUUUAGGUGGGGGACAACAGUUGGAAACGACUGCUAAUACCGCAUAACGUCUACGGACCAAAGGGGGGGAUCUUCGGACCUCUCGCCUAUAGAUUAGCCCAAGUGAGAUUAGCUAGUUGGUGAGGUAAUGGCUCACCAAGGCGACGAUCUCUAGCUGGUUUGAGAGGAUGAUC